GAUGAACGCUGGCGGCGUGCCUAAUACAUGCAAGUCGAGCGAACGGACGAGAAGCUUGCUUCUCUGAUGUUAGCGGCGGACGGGUGAGUAACACGUGUAUACCCUACCUAUAAUACUGGGAUAACUUCGGGACACCGGAGCUAAUACCGGAUGAUCUUUUGAACCGCAUGGUUCAAAAGUGAAAGACGGUCUUGCUGUCACUUAUAGAUGGAUCCGCGCUGCAUUAGCUAGUUGGUAAGGUAACGGCUUACCAGGGCAACGAUGCAUAGCCGACCUGUGAGGGGGUACGCCGACUGUGAGGCUGACAGGCGGCACAGGGACUGAGGGACGGCAGAGGUAGGUAAGGUACGGAAAAGGGGGGAAGCCUGACGGAGCGGCGGCAGGUGGAUGAUGAAGCGCUUCGUGCCGUAAAACGGUGUUAUGGGGGAAAACCGUUUGUGUAAGUAACGGUGCGUAAGUGACGGUAACGGAUAAAGAAGCCCCGGGUAACUAAGUG
rnacentral:rRNA from 1 species